rnacentral:rRNA from 1 species
ACACGGACCAGACUCCUACGGGAGGCAGCAGUAAGGAAUAUUGGGCAAUGGACGCAAGUCUGACCCAGCCAUGCCGCGUGCAGGAAGACGGCCCUAUGGGUUGUAAACUGCUUUUAUCAGGGAAUAAACCCCCGGAUGUAUCCGGGGCUGAAUGUACCUGAAGAAUAAGCAUCGGCUAACUCCGUGCCAGCAGCCGCGGUAAUACGGAGGAUGCAAGCGUUAUCCGGAUUCAUUGGGUUUAAAGGGUGCGCAGGCGGAUUAUUAAGUCAGUGGUGAAAUCCUACAGCUCAACUGUAGAACUGCCAUUGAUACUGAUAAUCUUGAGUAUAUUUGAAGUGGGCGGAAUGUAGCAUGUAGCGGUGAAAUGCAUAGAUAUGCUACAGAACACCAAUUGCGAAGGCAGCUCACUAAACUAUAACUGACGCUCAUGCACGAAAGCGUGGGGAUCAAACAGGAUUAGAUACCCUGGUAGUCCACGCUGUAAACGAUGAUUACUCGUUGUUGGCGAUACACAGUCAGCGACCAAGCGAAAGUGAUAAGUAAUCCACCUGGGGAGUACGAUCGCAAGGUUGAAACUCAAAGGAAUUGACGGGGGCCCGCACAAGCGGUGGAGCAUGUGGUUUAAUUCGAUGAUACGCGAGGAACCUUACCUGGGCUCAAAUGUAUGUUGACGUAUUCUGAAAGGGAUACUUCUUCGGACAAUAUACAAGGUGCUGCAUGGUUGUCGUCAGCUCGUGCCGUGAGGUGUCGGGUUAAGUCCCAUAACGAGCGCAACCCCUAUCAUUAGUUGCCAUCAGGUCAAGCUGGGGACUCUAAUGAAACUGCCUACGCAAGUAGUGAGGAAGGUGGGGAUGACGUCAAAUCAGCACGGCCCUUACGUCCAGGGCUACACACGUGCUACAAUGGCCGGUACAAAGGGCAGCUACCUGGUGACAGGAUGCUAAUCUCGAAAGCCGGU